rnacentral:rRNA from 1 species
GCUUACGGCCAUACCAACCUGAACACGCCCGAUCUCGUCAGAUCUCGGAAGCUAAGCAGGGUCGGCCUGGUAGUACUUGGAUGGGAGACGCCUGGGAAUACCAGUGCUGUAAGCU